UUAAUGAUUUUAUAAUAGUAUUCUCUUGGUUGCUAUUCUUGAUUCUUGAUUUUUGUUAUGAUUUUUUAAUGCUUCUAUUUUUUCCUGUUCUGUACUUGAGUUGAUUUUGUUCUUUGAUUUUUUAUUCUUGAUUUUUCACUGCAUCUAUUAUGAUUCA